GUGGCUUUGGUGUAGCUUGGCCUAUCAUCGGGCGUUUGGGACGCCUGGACCCAGGUUCAAAUCCUGGAAGCCACG
rnacentral:tRNA from 1 species